AUGCCCAGAGGACGGCCGUGCAGCUGAACGCGGGGAUCGCCCUGGGCAAGCUGUGCACGGCGGAGCCCAGGUUUGUCGCUCGGCUGAGGGAGCUGCAUGGGAUGGAGAUUCUCAGCUCCACCAUGAAGUACGUGACUGAUUCUUAAGACGCGAGCAUCCCCGCAGCUGUCCAGCAUCACGGGGCUGGGGAGGGGGGCGUGCUAAUAAAGAGGAUUUGAUGGCCA